AGAAUCAACGCUGGCGGCGUGCCUAACACAUGCAAGUCGAACGAGAAAGUGGAGCAAUCCAUGAGUAAAGUGGCGCACGGGUGAGUAACACGUGACUAACCUACCCUGGAGUGGGGGAUAACUGAGGGAAACCUUAGCUAAUACCGCAUAAUACCUACGGGUCAAAGGAGCAAUUCGCUUCAGGAGGGGGUCGCGGCCGAUUAGUUAGUUGGCGGGGUAAUGGCCCACCAAGACAGUGAUCGGUAUCCGGCCUGAGAGGGCGCACGGACACACUGGAACUGAAACACGGUCCAGACUCCUACGGGAGGCAGCAGUGGGGAAUUUGCGCAAUGGGGGAAACCCUGACGCAGCAACGCCGCGUGGAGGAUGAGGUCCCUUGGGACGUAAACUCCUUUCGAUCGGGACGAUUAUGACGGUACCGGAAGAAGAACGCCCGGCUAACUUCGUGCCAGCAGCCGC
rnacentral:rRNA from 1 species